UUUAAAUCAUAACCGUUAAAAAAAUAAGUUUUCAAAUUUGUUUCAAAACGUGUUCUCGUAUGGUUCCGAAAUCUUUGAUAUUGCAUUGUAUUUUUGAACUAAUAACGCGAGUGUUUAAGUUUUGAGAUAUUGACUCUGAUAAGUGAAAUAUUGACCUCAUUAUUAUUUUAAGUUUUAACAUGUCUGAUCAGUACAGAAAAUGUGUCAAGUGUGGAGUGACCUUAGCAAAAGAUCAUACUUUAACUUUUCACCGAUUUCCUAAGAUUGGGAAUGGAAACCCUGAAACAGUUUUAAGAUCCCGCAUUUGGGCCGAAUUCUGUUUCCCUGAAGAAAACUGUACUGAUGUAGAUUUUUU